rnacentral:rRNA from 1 species
CCUACGGGGGGCAGCAGUGAGGAAUAUUGGUCAAUGGCCGAGAGGCUGAACCAGCCAAGUCGCGUGAGGGAAGAAUGUCCUAUGGAUUGUAAACCUCUUUUGUCAGGGAGCAAAGUCACCCACGUGUGGGUGUUGGAGAGUACCUGAAGAAAAAGCAGCGGCUAACUCCGUGCCAGCAGCCGCGGUAAUACGUAGGGUGCGAGCGUUAAUCGGAAUUACUGGGCGUAAAGGGUGGGCAGGCGGUUUUGCAAGCUGGAUGUGAAAGCCCCGGGCUUAACCUGGGAAAGCCAUACAUGACUGACAGACUCGAGUGCGUGAGAGUGGGCUGGAAUUCCAAGUGUAGCAGUGAACUGCGUAGAUAUUUGGAAGAACACCGAUGGCGAAGGCAGCCCCCUGGGACGCAACUGACGCUCAUCCACGAAAGCGUGGGGAGCAAACAGGAUUAGAUACCCUAGUAGUC